rnacentral:rRNA from 1 species
UACGGGGGGGGCAAGCGUUGUUCGGAAUUACUGGGCGUAAAGGGCUCGUAGGUGGCCAACUAAGUCAGACGUGAAAUCCCUCGGCUUAACCGGGGAACUGCGUCUGAUACUGGAUGGCUUGAGUUCGGGAGAGGGAUGCGGAAUUCCAGGUGUAGCGGUGAAAUGCGUAGAGAUCGGGAGGAACACCGGUGGCGAAGGCGGUUCUCUGGGCCUUACCUGACGCUGAGGAGCGAAAGCGUGGGGAGCGAACAGG